rnacentral:tRNA from 4 species
GUCAGUUUGGCCGAGUGGUUAAGGCGUUAGACUUGAAAUCUAAUGGGUUCGCCCGCGUAGGUUCGAACCCUGCAGCUGACG